CUUUUGUCCAUCCCAGUCCCAGCCUACUGACUACAGUUUUCGCGUUCUAGAUACACUCUGCCUGAUUUUGCCAUAUUUGGGCGCAUAAAACGAAAAGAAAAGGGUAGAAGAACCAGGAAACUGAUGAAAGCUGCUAAACUGCCUGCUACAGGUUUCCUAAAGUUGUAGAGCAUUAAAGGUAUAUAUGAGAUGUAAUUCGAAAAUGGCGAUAGGCAAGCAUCUCAGAGGUAUUUUGUAUUGGAACGUUGGCCUAUUUGAUGGCCCAUAUAGGUCUCACGUUCACAGGAAAUUUUCACUCUGGUCAAUGAAGAAAGAUCCAGAUCUUGAAUCUGCUUUAUCUCGCAACCGUCGUUGGAUAGUAAAUAAUCAAAUUAAGAAUGUCCUUCUUCGGUGCCCGAAUCAGGUGGCAUCAGUCAAGUUUCUUCAGAAGAAGUUCAAGACUCUUGAUCUUCAAGGGAAUGCUCUCAAUUGGCUUAAAAAGUAUCCCUGUUGCUUUGAAGUCUAUCUUGAGAAUGAUGAGCAGUAUUGUCGAUUAACAAAACAAAUGAUGGCUUUGGUUGAUGAGGAAGAAUGUUUGAAGGAUAUGCAAGAGCCUGUGUUUGCAGAGCGAUUAGCAAAGUUGUUGAUGAUUAGCUCAAAUCAAAGGCUUAAUGUGAUGAAGCUGAAUGAAUUGAAGAGGAACUUUGGCUUUCCCGAUGACUACUUGAUUAGAAUUGUACCAAAGUAUCCUGAAUUAUUUAGAGUUGUUAAUUAUACUGGAAGGAGAAGUUCAAUGGAAAUCGAGCUCAAAACAUGGAACCCUAAUCUAGCAGUUUCUGCAAUUGAAAAAAUAGCUCUAAAGGAGGGUCGACCUCCAGGUUUUUCUUGUUCAUUGCCUUCUUCCUGGGUAAAAUCUUGGGAAAGGUUUGAGGAAUUUAAUUCAACACCAUACAUUUCACCAUACACUGACCCUGGUAGUUUGGUGGAGGGAUCAAAGGAAAUGGACAAAAGAAUCGUGGGUUUGGUGCAUGAAUUAUUAUCACUGACCUUGUGGAAGAAAUUGUCAAUUCUCAAGCUAAGCCAUUUCAGAAAAGAAUUUUGCUUGCCUGAGAAGUUAAAUGUCUUGCUGCUUAAGCAUCCUGGUGUCUUCUAUGUCUCAAAUAAAUACCAGAUUUACACAGUCCUGCUUAGAGAAGGAUAUAGUGGAUCUGAAUUGAUUGACAAGGAUCCGGCAGUCAUUGUGAAGGAUAAAUUUGGAGAACUCAUGCAGGAGGGGCUUCACGAAUAUAAUCAAAGGCACUAUUUGCUAAAUUUAGAAAAGAAGAGAAAGAAAGGCAUGAUCACAUCCAGACCUGAGAAAAAGAAUAAUUUGAGAAAUGAAAUGUCUGAAAAUGAGGAUCAAGGUGGAGAUAUUGGUGGCAUAUUUGACCCAGAAGAAAGAAAGCGAUUUUACAAAAUUCUCUUUGAUGACAGUGCUCCAUGAAUUUCAAACAGAGCUCUGCACAUAUAACAGCAUUCUGGCUGCUAGUGAGACAUCUUUUCAAAAUGAAAGUUCUGUAUGAUUACUUGACACCAAAAUCACUUCCUAAAGUUACAUUGUACGCUGUUUUGCUUCGAUGGUCUUGCUGGUUCAGGAAUAGGUGAAUGGCCAUUUUGUUGUUCUAUUCCAAUAUGCUGGCUGCGUUGAUCAUGGGAUAGAGGAAUUGUCUUCCUCGUUCUACUCCACAAGAAAAGAGCUGCAGUGUUGUGGUAUUCUUUGUGGCCUUUAAUUGCGAUGAGUUCGGGGAUCUGAACUUGGUUUUUAUGUUGUGUCUGGGCGGAAACCCAUGCUGAAGUACUUGAAGCCUUGGGUGCCUCAAGAGUUGAGUAAGAUGCCAAGAGAUCCGAGGCUGGAGGGAACUUUGCAGAUGUCAUUUAUAGUAUGAUUCUUGAUUAACACCGUUCAAAUCAUGUGUAAUUUUUUUGGCUGUAGAGGUAAAUAUAACCAAUGCGGAUCAUCAGCCCUUGCACUUUACAAGUUCUUUUGGAACAGCUCCAAAA